UACAGAGGGUGCAAGCGUUAAUCGGAAUUACUGGGCGUAAAGGGCGCGUAGGCGGUUUAUUAAGUUGGCUGUGAAAUCCCCGGGCUUAACCUGGGAACUGCAUACAAGACUGAUAGACUAGAGUGCUGUAGAGGAUAGUGGAAUUUCCGGUGUAGCGGUGAAAUGCGUAGAUAUCGGAAGGAACACCAGUGGCGAAGGCGGCUAUCUGGACAGACACUGACGCUGAGGCGCGAAAGCGUGGGGAGCAAACAGG
rnacentral:rRNA from 1 species